UUCAGAAUUGCAGUGCAAGCUUCCUGUCUUACAUUACCUUGCAAGAAAAAAAUGACUUCCGGAUAGAAAGACAGAUAGAUAGACAGACAGAUAGACAGUUAGACAGACAGAUAGAUAGAUGAUAGAUGAUUUCUAUGUGUACAUAUGUGUGAACAAGUAGACCACAUUCAGUAAAAAUUCACAGGGAAAUCAUGAGAAUUUUCAUUACAGCACAAAGAGGUUUGCAAUAACUUUGAUCUGAUAUAGAAUAUUCAAUGCUUUACAUCUCUCUGGGAAGGAAGUGGAAACACGCUGUGGUUAAGGGUCUCUGCAUUUUGCUGAAACCUUUAGUUGGUUUGACACCAUUGCGAAAGACUGACACAAUGAAGCAAGUAAUUUUCUUCUUCUGUGUAUUUUCUUAUUGGAUUACACAAAUCACAUCCAAUGAUGCGUCAGUACAAGGAUCUUCUGAUCUGUUAAGAGUUCAACUGGAAGAAAACGUCAGUCUGAACUGCAGCAUGACAGAUCAACAUGACAUCGCCUGGUAUCACCUCAGAUCUGACCGAUUCAAUCAACUGAUUGCGGCAGAAAAGGAUGAAACAGGAAGAAAACUUCUGGUCACCUACAAUCAAAACAGCAUUCGUCUGAUAAUUACUGCAGACUGGCGGAUCACCACAGUGACUUUAACUAUUUCUGGAGUAACAGAGUCAGAUUCUGGUCUUUAUUUCUGUGGAACAAAGUCUGGCACUACAGAGAUGUACUUCAACAAACCCAUCAGACUAGAGAUCCAGGGUCUUUCUGUAACAGAAGAACCAAAAGAAGUUGACAUCACAGAUGGAGUGACUACGAAAGAGAGGGCAAUGAUGUUCGGUGGUGUUGGUCUGGCUGUGCUUGUGUUUUUUCUGGCUACAGUCUUUGCAGGAGGAAUCAUUCACUAUCGAGGUUGGCAGAAAGGAUGGGCCGCAGCCAAACGCUCAUCUCUGAUUCAUCACAAAUCAGAUAAAUGAUACAUUUAUGUGCUUUAUUUUACAGUCUGAGCUUUGCACUGCCAGUUAAAUCAGCAUUACUGCAGGUUACCACAAAUAAAACAGAAAACUGUGACCUAGAUGCCUUUCCU
ensembl:lncRNA